rnacentral:rRNA from 1 species
UUGCAGAGAAUACUAUGCGGCUAGAGGCCGGGAGAGGUUAGGGGUAUUCUCAGGGUACCGGUGAAAUGGUAUAAUCCUGGGAGGACCACCAGUAGCGAAGGCGCCUAACUGGAACGGGCCUGACGAUGAGGGACGAAAGCUAGGGGAGCGAACGGGAUUAGAUACCCCGGUAGUCCUAGCCGUAAACGAUGCAGACUGAGUGUUGCCAUACCUUCAUGGUGUGGCAGUGCUGAAGGGAAACCGUUAAGUCUGCCGCCUGGGGAGUACGGUCGCAAGGCUGAAACUUAAAGGAAUUGGCGGGGGAGCACCACAAGGGGUGGAUGCUGCGGUUUAAUUGGAUAAAACGCCGGGCAACUCACCAGGGGCGACGGCAGUAUGAAAGCCAGGCUGAAGGUCUUGCUGGACAAGCCGAGAGGUAGUGCAUGGCCGUCGUCAGCUCGUACUGUGAAGCGUACGGUUAAGUCCGUUAACGAGCGAGACCCGUACCCUUAUUUGCCAACCUCGAGGAGACUUGGGGAGCACUAUAGGGGGACCGCCUCUGAUGAAGAGGAGGAAGGUACGGGCGACGGUAGGUCAGUAUGCUCCGAAUCUCCUGGGCUACACGCGGCAUACAAUGACGUGGACAACGGGUUGCGACACCGUAAGGUGAAGCCAAUCUCUUAAACCACGCCUUAGUUCGGAUCGAGGGUUGCAACUCACCCUCGUGAAGCUGAAAUCCCUAGUAAGCGCUAGUAACCAUCUAGCGCUGAAUAUGUCCCUGCUCCUUGCACACACCGCCCGUCACGUCA